GUCUACAGCCAUGCUACCCUGAACAAGCCCGAUCCCAUCUGAUCUUGGAAGCUAAGCAGGGUCGGGAAUGAUUAGUACUUGGAUGGGAGACCACCUACGAAGACCAGGUGCUGUAUGCA
rnacentral:rRNA from 1 species